ensembl:lncRNA
AAAUGAUAUAAUUUCAGGUAACGAUAAGUGCUUUGAAGAAAAUAAAAACAGGAAAAUGCAAAGGGGAGGAAAACGCUGGCAAUUUAAAUAGAGGUGUCAAAGAUAUCCUUUCUAAGAUGUUAACAUUUGAGCUGGGACUUGAUUGAUGAAAAACAAAAAAAGCCUGCCACACUAAGAUCCUGGAGAACAUUCCAGUCUGAGAGCAGCAAAUUUAAGGGCAUGAUAGUGAAAGAAAAGUUUGCACAUCCUCAUUCUUCCACUGAACGAAUAUUCACCAGAUGCUUCUGAUAUGUCAGGCACUGUCCUAGGUGCUUAGGACACCUAGGACAGAUUUGUCAACAUUAUGAACAAAAGGAAAAACAACCCAUAAAAAUCCCUGCCUUUAUGGAGCUUUUAUCCUAACACACUGAAAAAUACAAUAAGGCCUGAGUUGCUGGAACACAGGGCAAGGAAUAUAGUGAUUCAAAAAACCUUGGGGGCUGGGGGUCCUUCCCUGGUGGUUCAGUGGUAAAGAAUGCCUGACAAUGCAGGGAACAAGGAUGCAAUCCCUGGAUCAGGAAGAUCCCACAUGCCAAGGAACAGCUGAGCCCAUGGGCCUAGAGCCCAUGCUCCAUACCAAGGGAAACCGCUGCAGUGAAAAGCCUACACACCACAACUAGAGAGUAGCCCCUGCUCUCCGUAACUAGAGAAAGCCCACAAUCAGCAACAAACAUCCAGCACAGCAAAAACAAAUAAAUACAUCUUUAAAAAAAAAAAAAAAACCUGGGAAAACAGGCAAAGGCCAGAUCAUAUGUGGUUUUGAAGGCUAUGAUAUGGAAGAUUGUAUUUGAAGUACAAUUUAAAGUAGUUAGGGGUUCUAAGCAAAGAUGUGAUACAUUAUUUCGUUUUGUUUUAAUAACUCAGACUGCUCAAGGAUGCUUAUCAUGGUGGGGAAGGGAACGAAUCAGGAGAAAAGGAUAGUAAGUGUUUGUUCCAAUAUGAUCUACACAGGAAAUUACGGUGAUCUGGACUAAAACAGUAGUGUAAGUGAGAGGAAAAGUACCAGUCAGUUUAGUUCAGUUGCUCAGUCCUAUCUGACUCUUUUCUGACCCCAUGGACUACAGUACACCAGGUUUUCCUGUACAUCACCAACUCCUAGAGCCUACUCAAAUUCAUGUUCAUUGAGUCUGAUGCCAUCCAACCAUCUCAUCCUCUGUCGUCCCCUUCUCCUCCCACCUUCAGUCUUUCCCAGGAUCGGGGUCUUUUCAAAUGAGUCAGUUCUUUGCAUCAGGUGGCCAAAGUAUUGGAAUUUCAGCUUCAGCAUCAGUCCUCCCAAUGAAGUCAUCUCUGUAUCUGAGGUUGUUGGUAUUUCUCAUGGCAAUCUUGAUUCCAGCUUGUGCUUCAUGCAGCCUGGCAUUUUGCAUGAUGUACUCUGCAUGUAAGUUAGAUAAGCAGGGUGACAAUAUACAGCCUCGACAUACUCCUUUCCCAAUUUGGAACCAGUCCAUUCUUCCACGUCUGGUUCUAACUGUUGCUUCUUGACCUGCAUACAGGUUUCUCAGGAGGCAGGUCACGUGGUCUGAUAUUCCCAUCUCUUGAACAAUUUUCCACAGCUUAUGGUGAUCCACACAGUCAAAGGGUUUGGCAUAGUCAAUAAAGCAAAAGUAGAUCUUUUUCUGGAACUCUCUUGUUUUUCCAAUGAUCCAAUGGAUGUUGGCAAUUAUAUCUCUGGUGUAUCUGCAUUUUCUAAAUCCAUCUUGAACAUCUGAAAGUUCAUGGUUCACAUACUGUUGAAGCCUGGCUUGAAGAAUUUUGAGCAUUAUUUUGCUAGCAUGUGAGAUGAGUUCAGUUGUGCAGUAGUUUGAGCAUUGUUUGGCAUUGCCUUUCUUUUGGAUUGGAAUGAAAACUGACCUUUUGCAGUCCUGUGGCCACUGCUGAGUUUUCCAAAUUUGCUGGCAUAUUGAGUGCAGCACUUUCACAGCAUCAUCUUUUAGGAUUUGAAAUAGCUCAACUGGAAUUCCUUCACCUCCACUGACUUUGUUCAUGAUGAUGCUUCCUGAGGCCCACUUUACUUCACAUUCUAUGAUGUCUGGCUCUAGGUGCGUGAUCAUACCAUCAUGAUUAUCUGGGUCAUGAAGAUCUUUUUUGUAGUUCUUCUGUGUAUUCUUGCCACCUCUUCUUAAUGUCUUCUGCUUCUGUUAGGUCCAUACCAUUUCUGUCCUUUUGUGUGCCCAUAUUUGCAUGAAAUAUUCCCUUGGUAUCUCUAAUUUUUUAAAAGAGAUCUCUAGUCUUUCCCAUUCUAUUGUUUUCCUCUAUUUCUUUGCACUGAUCACUGAGGAAGGCUUUCUUAUCUCUCCUUGCUAUUCUUUUGGAACUCUGCAUUCAAAGGGGCAUCUUUCCUUUUCUCCUUUUCUUUUCAAUUUUCUUCUUUUCACAGCUAUUUGUAAGUCCUCCUCCGACAGCCAUUUUGCUUUUUUGCAUUUCUUUUUCUUAGGGAUGGUCUUGAUCCCUGUCUCCUGUACAAUGUCACAAACCUCCGUCCAUAGUUCAUCAGGCACUCUGUCUAUCAGAUCUAAUCCCUUGAAUCUAUUUCUCACUUCCACUGUAUAAUCAUAAGGGAUUUAAUUUAGGUCAUACCUGAAUGGUCUAGUGGUUUUUCCUACUUUCUUCAAUUUAAGUCUGAAUUUUGCAAUAAGGAGUUCAUGAUCUGAACCACAGUCAGCUCCUGGUCUUAUUUUUGCUGACUGUAUAUAGCUUCUCCAUCUUUGGCUGCAAAGAAUAUAAUCAAUCUGAUUUCGGUGUUGACCAUCUGGUGAUGUCCAUGUGUAGAGUCUUCUCUUAUGUUGUUGGAAGAGGGUGUUUACUGUGACCAGUUUGUUUUCUUGGCAAAACUCUAUUAGCCUUUGCCCUGGUUCAUUCUGUAUUCAAAGGCUUAAUUUGCCUGUUAUUCCAGAUGUUUCUUGACUUCCUACUUUUGCAUUCCAGUCCCCUAUAAUGAAAAGGAUAUCUGUUUUCCCAUAUAGGCCAUUAAUUACAGAGUAUUUAGAAUUCCCUGUGCUAUACAGUAGGUCCUUAUUAAUCAUCUAUUUUAUAUACAGUAGUUUGUAUCUACUAAUCCCAGUUUCUAAUUUAUCCCUCCCCCUGCCGUAAAUCAUUGUUCAAUACACUGGAUUCCAUGAAGUCUAAUAAGAUGAGGUCAUCUAAUGAGGAUUAGACAAGGGAGAGGGUAUUUAUAGAGGAAACAAAAGGGUCCAGGAUUAAACUUCGGGGAGCUGCUGAAUUCAGAGGUGAGAGGAACCAACCAAAGAGGUGAGAGGGGAACCAACCAAAGAGAUCAUGAAGGCCAGUAAGACAGGAGAACAGGUGAGGGUGGAGUCUGAGAAGCCAAGGGAAGAGAGUACUUGAAAAAGGGUAUAGUCGUCAGAUGCAGCUCAUGAUGCUGAGAGGUAAAGGAAGAUGCAGAUAACCAGAAAGAUGGAGAGGAAGCAGCUGGUCAUUUGUCAAUAGCAGCUUCCGGGAAGGGUUAGAAACUGUAGUAGGAAUCUUCUGAAGAAAGAGUGGGAGGUGAAGAGUGACAUCUGCCGCCAAUAGUAUAGCAGAUAAGAUAGGCCCAUGUAAACAACUGUUAAUCAAAGGGUUUCACUGGUGGCUCAGUGGUAAAGAAUCUGCCUGCCAAUGCAGGAGACAAGGGUUUGAUCCCUGCUCCAGGAUAAUCCCACCUGACCCUGUGGCACAACUACAGAGUCAGUGUUCUAGAGCCUAGGAGCUGAAACUACUAAGCCCACAUGCCUCAGCUUCUUAAUCCUGCGCUCCCUAGAGCCUGCGAUCAGAAACGAGAGAAGCCACUGUGAUGCCUGGGCAUUGCAACUAGACAGUAGCCCCUCCUUCCGCAACUAGAGAAAAGCUGCCGCAGUGACAAAGAGCCGCAUCACAGAGCUGCAUUAGAAAAACAGAGUGAGAACCCUACAAAGGUUAAAAACAAAAUCCAUGAGCAAAAAAGGGAAAGCUCAUCAUUUCAGAAGAAAGCAAACUGAUCAGAGGGAAAGGAACGCUAGAAGAAGAAGAGCAACCAUUUGGCAGCAAGCGUAACAAUUCUUUAAUGUUUUUCAAGCACAAAUGACAAAUGGAAAAGUACUUCCCAUCCAACGUUGUUCCUUCAAGAAAACAUUUUAUGAGUGUAGCUCAGUUUGAAGACUUUGAACCAUAACUUGGAUUUCAGUAUAAGGGAGCCAGUGUGAGCAAGAAUGAUUAUGAAUAUAAUGAUCUUGAUAUGGCUCCUCCUACGUGUAGUGAUCUCACUGAGGGUUUCAGGCCUUGAUCCAGGAAGAGCCUGAUGCCCAUACUCCACAACUACUGAGCCUGUGCUCUAGAGCCCGGGAGUCACAACUGCUGAGUCCACGUGUAGAAACCACAUUGUGGGAGGACUCUUCUCAGAAAUACAAUGCCGAUAGAUACCUGAGAAUGAAUACCAAAGAGAAACAUUCCGAUGUAAGGAAUGUUGGAAAUUUAUACUAGAGGGAACGCUCACGAAUAUAAUGAGCCAGAAGAAAUACCUCAGAGACCAGGGGGAAAUGCAUCCUGGAGACUGCAUUCAGGCAUGCGCUGAGUGGAGUCAAGCGUCUCUCACCCUUUCAAGUGUUCUGUUGACUCUCAUUCUACAUUUCAGAAUCCACAUAAGGAGGAAAUCAUAUAAAAGUGAUGAAGGUGGGAAAGCCUUCAGCUGUCAUAGAAAAAGCUCACGCUCAUCUUUCUAAGGAGAAACCCUGUCAAUGUGUG